rnacentral:rRNA from 1 species
AUGAACGCUGGCGGCGUGCCUAAUACAUGCAAGUCGAGCGAACGGACGAGAAGCUUGCUUCUCUGAUGUUAGCGGCGGACGGGUGAGUAACACGUGGAUAACCUACCUAUAAGACUGGGAUAACUUCGGGAAACCGGAGCUAAUACCGGAUAAUAUUUUGAACCGCAUGGUUCAAAAGUAAAAGACGGUCUUGCUGUCACUUAUAGAUGGAUCCGCGCUGCAUUAGCUAGUUGGUAAGGUAACGGCUUACCAAGGCAACGAUGCAUAGCCGACCUGAGAGGGUGAUCGGCCACACUGGAACUGAGACACGGUCCAGACUACUACGGGAGGCAGCAGUAGGGAAUCUUCCGCAAUGGGCGAAAGCCUGACGGAGCAACGCCGCGUGAGUGAUGAAGGUCUUCGGAUCGUAAAACUCUGUUAUUAGGGAAGAACAUAUGUGUAAGUAACUGUGCACAUCUUGACGGUACCUAAUCAGAAAGCCACGGCUAACUACGU